UCGGUUUUAGAGUGAAUAGAAACAUAAUAUGCGGCGACCAGGGGAUAUUUUUUUAAUCAAGUAUUUUUUAUUUUAAUUACUUUAAAGUAAUGAAACUUCAUGCAUUGAGAUGAAACUCAGCAGUAGAGUGGAGUAAUAAAGUGGAAUGGGUAAAAAGCUAUAAAUCAAAGUGUGAAGUAAAAGAUAAAAAUUGACCAUGGCUAUGGCCCAUUAUGCCAGCAUAGCAAAAAAACAACACUUGUCAAACAAUUUACGCUAAUAUUAAUGCCAAAAUGAACAAAAGGUUAGGUAACAUUCAUAUAAUCACAACACAAUAUAUGGAAUUUGAAUAUUUUCAAAUUACUUGAAGAUAAUUCUCGAUAAUCAAUGGAUUACACUACUAAUAACGAAAAUAAUUUACAUUUCCCCGAUAAAAUGUUUAGAGAAUGGAAUAAAAACAAGGACCGUUGAAGUCGGAACGAAGUAAAAAGUGUCAUUUCCAAGCAAAAGCUGGCUAUCCACUAAUUGAGAAAGUGGCUUCCGCCCAUUCCAUUCAAAUUUUGAA